rnacentral:lncRNA from 1 species
UCUGACCACAAAAACAGGUGAAAGGCAGUAAGAUGAAAAUUUUACCGUCCCCACACGCGGUGCUCGUGGGAGUAACUUCUAAGCCUCCAACUCUCCGAGGUUGCCGCCGACUCCGGUUUUCUCAAAUCUGAGACGAGAGAAGAAUAUUUUGAAUUGCAGCAUUGUCGGCACCGUUAAUUGAUCGUUCAUAGUCGGGCGGCCCAAGUUUGUUCUGAUAUGGGAUCCCAAUCUGAGUAACACUUGGAAGUCGAAAAUCAUCGAAACCCAAUUCAUUGCGGCAGUUUGUAGUAUGAUAGGUUUAUGCUCUCUCUCUAGGGGAUUCUAAGUUAUGCCUUCAUCUUAGGUGGGUGUUUCCUUCAGUAUGGCUUUUGCUUCUGAGCAAUCUCAUGGUGCUGAUUAAUGGAGUCAUUGCCCGUGGCCGGAGAGGAAGAAUGUGAAUACGCCGGAAGCUGCUGCGCGGAGAUCACAUGAUUCAACAUAGGCAUGAGGCUCCUAUUGUAUGUGUGUCAUAUAUAACACACUAAAUGAUUAGGCAACAACAGUAUCGAGUCCUUUAAUUUGUUUUUGUACUAAGCCAGAUGCUCUUUUAAAGUUUGUGACAUGUAUUUGAUUAGC